AUGGCCGAUGGUGAGGUUGUAGUGGGCCUUUGGCGUGAACUCCGGCGACAGGACGACGGGGAACGGCGAGAUCCGAUGCGGAGAAGGUCGAGGCCAGCUGGACCUAGCUGGAGUAGGGGCGGAGGUAGCGGGGCAAGCUUGACGGAGGCACAACAAGAACUUGGCGCUCGAUGCGGGGGCAACAGGGUCCUUCACGGCGGCGCGGCGGUCGUGGGAGGCCGGAGCACCGGCGGAGGAAGGGAUCUGGCGAACAUUACGUCGAGGGCGAGCAAGGUCGAGGGCAGCAAAGCUCGGAGCAGGUCGGGGCCAGCCAUGGCGUCGGGGCUUUGUCCAGAGGAGGCAGUGCCUCGGCGGCUGCACCUGCUGGCUCCUAGAGCGGCGGAGCGGCAGGGACCGGCGAAGUGGCACCCCUAUGGUCGUGCUCGUGAGGAUGAGGUCGGAGGAGGGGGCCGAUACGAAGAGAGAGUGGGGAUCAGUCGUGGGGAAUGGGAGGUGGCGCUGCGGGAGGAAGCAGGGGAUCGAUAG
rnacentral:rRNA from 1 species